UCCUCUGAUAAUGGGGAAAAAAAUGAAACAACCUGAAAAGGAAAAAAUCAAUCUUUAGUGGUUGAUUCAUGCCCAGCCUGUGACCAUCAAGAGGUCAUGAUCCAAACCACUGACCCAGAGGACUGACACCCAUAAAACAGAAAAGCCUGAGCUGCGGUAUCAUCCAUUACAUCUGCCGGGAGGAGGCGCAGGCUGGUUCGCAGGAGGGACUGAACAAAGAGAAGUUGAGUCCCAAAUGUAGCUGGUUAUGUUUACACAGGAGGUGAUGAUAUCAAUGCUGAAGCACUAAAACUCACUGUUUUGUGUGUGUGCGAGCAACACAUCUCAAAUGUACCAGGAGCUCCAUUUCUGGAAAAAGAUGUUGCUGUUAAAAUAUUAAAUUCUGUUCUCCUCCAUUGAACUGAAGAGGCAGCAGAUAUUUUAGAGACGGAUAUCUCAAUAAAAACAAAAACUAUCUGCAAGGACAAAGACUGAGCUUCAUCAGCAGGUACAGGAAGCCGGGGUAACUGAUGGUCAAGUCCGGCUCUGUGUAUCUCAGUCCAACCACCUGCAUUACCAAAUCAUCCACCACGAUGCCUGGAGCAGAAAAAGACCAGACCAACAAACCCAGACCCUGGAACUCUGGCCAGUUUAGCUGAGCAAUGUCUUGGCUCUAGGGAAAACACUGAGGUCACGGAAAUUAACCAGACAAAUCCAAACAAUCGAACAUGAACCCGAUCACUAAACACCUGUCAGCACUUUUAUGCAGAGUCACCAACAUGUCUUUAUCAGGGCGGGGCUGAGCUACACACACAGAGCUGAGGUCAGCGGACAGGAGACGAAUCGCUGCCAAACACGUGAUACUAAAGUCAAGAGAUACGAGAUCAGGGAUGACUUGUGACUUGAAGAUGAAGAUGAAACCAACAGAAAGCCAAGCUUGUGGUGAUAAACUUGCAACAGUGACGAAUGUGCCUGAGACGCAACAGAAGCUCCAGUGGCAUGAAAACAACAAAAUCUAAACUCAGUCCAUCUAACAGAUUGAUCCAUGACUCACGUGGCAGCAUUGCCCUGCUCUGUCAGCACCCGCAGUAGGAACUCUCCCUGCUGAUUGGGCUCUGCAGUUGAAGGGAUGAUGAUGUAACGACCUGGUGGAAGGGAGCCGCGAAGAAGAACCUCCCGACGUGAGACGUACUGAGGGCUGCAGAGGACCGGGCGGAGCACGCUUAAGUCCCCAGCCGUCAGAUAUGUAUUCUUAGGAUGGGCCUGGAGAGAAACCACUGGUUUAAUAUUGUGUGCAGGUUCAGAUCUCCCUUCCAAACCUGCAGUAUUAAAUAUACAACUGUGUGCACUCUAUUAUGAAAACAAGUUAUGAAUUCUUGAAUUUUUAAAUAUUGAUUUAAGGAACUCUCUAAUAUAACAUGCAAACUCAAACACUGCAUUCUUGUUUAUGUAAAAUCUUGACCAGAAAAGCAACUAAACCUGUCA